rnacentral:rRNA from 1 species
AGAACGAACGCUGGCGGCGUGGAUAAGACAUGCAAGUCGAACGCGACUUAUUUUGUUAGCAAUAACAGAGUAAGUUGAGUGGCGAAAGGGUGCGUAACACGUGGGAAUUUACCAAGAAGUGGGGAAUAGCUCGACGAAAGUCGAAUUAAUACCGCAUGUGAUCGAAAGAUCAAAGUCGGGGACCGCAAGGCCUGACGCUUUUUGAGAAGCCCGCGGCCCAUCAGCUAGUUGGUGAGGUAAUGGCUCACCAAGGCUAUGACGGGUAGCUGGUCUGAGAGGACGACCAGCCACACUGGAACUGAGACACGGUCCAGACACCUACGGGUGGCAGCAGUCGAGAAUUUUUCACAAUGGACGAAGUCUGAUGGAGCGACGCGCGUGGAGGAUGAGGUUCUUGGAUUGUAAACUCCUGUCACUGCAGAACGAAGGGUACAUUUGUGAAUAGCAUGUGUA